rnacentral:misc_RNA from 1 species
GAUGAAGAACGUAGCGAAAUGCGAUACUUGGUGUGAAUUGCAGAAUCCCGCGAAUCAUCGAGUUUUUGAACGCAAGUUGCGCCCGAAGCCAUUCGGCCGAGGGCACGUCUGCCUGGGUGUCACGCAUCGUUGCCCCCCCAAACUCCGGUUCGGGCGGGGCGGAAGUUGGCCUCCCGUGCGUGCCUGCGCGCGCGGUUAGCCCAAAAGCGAGUCCUCGGCGACGAGCGCCACGACAAUCGGUGGUUUUUUUACCCUCGUUCCUCGUCGUGCGUGUCCCGUCGCCCGAACGCGCUCUUGUGACCCUCACGCGUCGCCUCGGCGGCGCUCCCAACGCGACCCCAGGUCAGGCGGGACUACCCGCUGAGUUUAAGCAUAUCAAUAAGCGGGGA